rnacentral:rRNA from 1 species
AGGACGAACGCUGGCGGCGUGCUUAACACAUGCAAGUCGAGCGAGGCCCACCUUUCGGGGUGGUGUUCUAGCGGCGAACGGGUGAGUAACACGUGGGCAACCUGCCCUCAGCUCUGGGAUAACUCCAAGAAAUUGGGGCUAAUACCGGAUAUGACUGCUGACCGCAUGGUCUGGUGGUGGAAAGAUUUAUCGGCUGGGGGAUGGGCCCGCGGCCUAUCAGCUUGUUGGUGGGGUAGUGGCCUACCAAGGCGACGACGGGUAGCCGGCCUGAGAGGGUGACCGGCCACACUGGGACUGAGACACGGCCCAGACUCCUACGGGAGGCAGCAGUGGGGAAUAUUGCGCAAUGGGCGGAAGCCUGACGCAGCGACGCCGCGUGGGGAUGACGGCCUCGGUUGUAACCUCUUCAGCAGGACGAAGCGAAAGUAGACGGUACCUAGCAGAAGAAGACAACCGGCCAACUACGUAGCAGCAGCGC